UACGUAGGUGGCAAGCGUUGUCCGGAAUUACUGGGUGUAAAGGGAGCGCAGGCGGGAAGCCAAGUCAGCUGUGAAAACUACGGGCUUAACUUGUAGACUGCAGUUGAAACUGGUUUUCUUGAGUGAAGAAGAGGUUGGCGGAACUCCGAGUGUAGCGGUGAAAUGCGUAGAUAUUCGGAGGAACACCGGUGGUGAAGGCGGCCAACUGGGCUUUAACUGACGCUGAGGCUCGAAAGUGUGGGGAGCAAACAGG
rnacentral:rRNA from 1 species